GUGCUCGCUUCGGCAGCACAUUUACUAAAAUUGGAACGAUAAGGAGAAGAUUAGCAUGACCCCUGCACAAAGAUGACAGACAAAUUCAUGAAGCAUUCCAUAUUUUU
ensembl:snRNA U6 U6 spliceosomal RNA